UGCCGUGUGUCCUUUUGUCAGUCCUAAGUCUAAGAAAGCUAGUGUCCAUUUAUUUUUAUAUCACUUCGCAAGUGAGGCUGGUGGCUCCCUUUGGGCAGUGCAGGUCUGGAAACUUCAGGGUGUAUUCCCAUGUGGGGAACCCAGUCCUGCUGUGACUCUAGAAGGGAGAGCGCCAGGGAUACAGUCGUACAUUCCUGGUAACAGCUCUGUGAUUUUCUGCUUCAGGUUAUCAGUGAGCUGAAUGGAAAAAACAUUGAAGACGUCAUUGCCCAGGGUAUUGGCAAGCUUGCCAGUGUACCUGCCGGUGGGGCUGUAGCCGUCUCUGCUGCCCCAGGCUCUGCAGCCCCUGCUGCUGGUUCGGCCCCUGCUGCAGUAGAGGAGAAGAAAGAUGAGAAGAAGGAGGAGUCUGAAGAGUCAGACGAUGACAUGGGAUUUGGCCUUUUUGAUUAAAUUCCUGCUUCCCUGCAAAUAAAGCGUUUUUACGCAU
rnacentral:sRNA from 1 species